rnacentral:rRNA from 1 species
UUGAACGCUGGCGGCAGGCCUAACACAUGCAAGUCGAGCGGAUGAAGGGAGCUUGCUCCUGGAUUCAGCGGCGGACGGGUGAGUAAUGCCUAGGAAUCUGCCUGGUAGUGGGGGAUAACGUCCGGAAACGGGCGCUAAUACCGCAUACGUCCUGAGGGAGAAAGUGGGGGAUCUUCGGACCUCACGCUAUCAGAUGAGCCUAGGUCGGAUUAGCUAGUUGGUGGGGUAAAGGCCUACCAAGGCGACGAUCCGUAACUGGUCUGAGAGGAUGAUCAGUCACACUGGAACUGAGACACGGUCCAGACUCCUACGGGAGGCAGCAGUGGGGAAUAUUGGACAAUGGGCGAAAGCCUGAUCCAGCCAUGCCGCGUGUGUGAAGAAGGUCUUCGGAUUGUAAAGCACUUUAAGUUGGGAGGGAGGGCAGUAAGUUAAUACCUUGCUGUUUUGACGUUACCAACAGAAUAAGCACCGGCUAACUUCGUG